CCAAUGUGGGUACCCCCAGGAGGUCAGGUCACUCCUCUCAGGGGUCUGUCCAAGUGGCGCAGAGAAGCAUAGGGCUCUGCCCCAUGAUGUACAGUCCUUUCCACAAUGUUGGAGAGAAAGCUGGGCCUUCAUUGUGUGCUUUCAUAUUCCUACAGCUUCUCAGAGUCCUGUGGACAAUGACUGAGGAGACAAGGCAUGCAGGAAACAUCU